GAUGAACGCUGGCGGCGUGCCUAACACAUGCAAGUCGAGCGAACGGACGAGAAGUUUGCUUCUCUGAUGUUAGCGGCGGACGGGUGAGUCACACGUGGAUAACCUACCUAUAAGACUGGGAUCACUUCGGGAAACCGGAGCUAACACCGGAUGACAUUUUGAACCGCAUGGUUCAAAAGAGAAAGACGGUCUUGCUGCCACUAAUAGAUGGAUCCGCGCUGCAUUAGCUAGUUGGUAAGGUAACGGCUUACCAAGGCAACGAUGCAUAGCCGACCUGAGAGGGGGAUCGGCCACACUGGAACUGAGACACGGUCCAGACUCCUACGGGAGGCAGCAGUAGGGAAUCUUCCGCAAUGGGCGAAAGCCUGACGGAGCAACGCCGCGUGUGUGAUGAAGGUCUUCGGAUCGUAAAGCUCUGUUAUGAGGGAAGAACAUAUGUGUAAGUAACUGUGGCCAUCUUGACGGUACCUAAUCAGGAAGCCACGGCUAACUACGUG
rnacentral:rRNA from 1 species